rnacentral:rRNA from 1 species
GACGAACGCUGGCGGCGUGCUUAACACAUGCAAGUCGAACGGAAAGGCCCUGCUUUUGUGGGGUGCUCGAGUGGCGAACGGGUGAGUAACACGUGAGUAACCUGCCCUUGACUUUGGGAUAACUUCAGGAAACUGGGGCUAAUACCGGAUAGGAGCUCCUGCUGCAUGGUGGGGGUUGGAAAGUUUCGGCGGUUGGGGAUGGACUCGCGGCUUAUCAGCUUGUUGGUGGGGUAGUGGCUUACCAAGGCUUUGACGGGUAGCCGGCCUGAGAGGGUGACCGGCCACAUUGGGACUGAGAUACGGCCCAGACUCCUACGGGAGGCAGCAGUGGGGAAUAUUGCACAAUGGGCGGAAGCCUGAUGCAGCAACGCCGCGUGCGGGAUGACGGCCUCGGGUUGUAAACCGCUUUCGCCUGUGACGAAGCGUGAGUGACGGUAAUGGGUAAAGAAGCACCGGCUAACUACGUGCCAGCAGCCGCGGUGAUACGUAGGGUGCGAGCGUUGUCCGGAUUUAUUGGGCGUAAAGGGCUCGUAGGUGGUUGAUCGCGUCGGAAGUGUAAUCUUGGGGCUUAACCCUGAGCGUGCUUUCGAUACGGGUUGACUUGAGGAAGGUAGGGGAGAAUGGAAUUCCUGGUGGAGCGGUGGAAUGCGCAGAUAUCAGGGGGAACACCAGUGGCGAAGGCGGUUCUCUGGGCCUUUCCUGACGCUGAGGAGCGAAAGCGUGGGGAGCGAACAGGCUUAGAUACCCUGGUAGUCCACGCUGUAAACGGUGGGUACUAGGUGUGGGGUCCAUUCCACGGGUUCCGUGCCGUAGCUAACGCUUUAAGUACCCCGCCUGGGGAGUACGGCCGCAAGGCUAAAACUCAAAGGAAUUGACGGGGCCCCGCACAAGCGGCGGAGCAUGCGGAUUAAUUCGAUGCAACGCGUAGAACCUUACCUGGGUUUGACAUGGAUCGGGAGUGCUCAGAGAUGGGUGUGCCUCUUUUGGGGUCGGUUCACAGGUGGUGCAUGGCUGUCGUCAGCUCGUGUCGUGAGAUGUUGGGUUAAGUCCCGCAACGAGCGCAACCCUUGUUCACUGUUGCCAGCACGUUAUGGUGGGGACUCAGUGGAGACCGCCGGGGUCAACUCGGAGGAAGGUGGGGAUGACGUCAAGUCAUCAUGCCCCUUAUGUCCAGGGCUUCACGCAUGCUACAAUGGCUGGUACAGAGAGUGGCGAGCCUGUGAGGGUGAGCGAAUCUCGGAAAGCCGGUCUCAGUUCGGAUUGGGGUCUGCAACUCGACCUCAUGAAGUCGGAGUCGCUAGUAAUCGCAGAUCAGCAACGCUGCGGUGAAUACGUUCCCGGGGCU